UCAAGUGAAGAAGCGCAUACGGUGGAUGCCUUGGCAGUCAGAGGCGAUGAAAGACGUGGUAGCCUGCGAAAAGCUUCGGGGAGUCGGCAAACAGACUUUGAUCCGGAGAUCUCUGAAUGGGGGAACCCACCUAGGAUAACCUAGGUAUCUUGUACUGAAUCCAUAGGUGCAAGAGGCGAACCAGGGGAACUGAAACAUCUAAGUACCCUGAGGAAAAGAAAUCAACCGAGAUUCCCUUAGUAGUGGCGAGCGAACGGGGAUUAGCCCUUAAGCUUCAUUGAUUUUAGCGGAACGCUCUGGAAAGUGCGGCCAUAGUGGGUGAUAGCCCCGUACGCGAAAGGAUCUUUGAAGUGAAAUCGAGUAGGACGGAGCACGAGAAACUUUGUCUGAACAUGGGGGGACCAUCCUCCAAGGCUAAAUACUACUGACUGACCGAUAGUGAACCAGUACCGUGAGGGAAAGGCGAAAAGAACCCCGGAGAGGGGAGUGAAAUAGAACCUGAAACCGUAUGCGUACAAGCAGUGGGAGCCUACUUGCUUAGGUGACUGCGUACCUUUUGUAUAAUGGGUCAGCGACUUAUAUUCAGUGGCAAGCUUAACCGUAUAGGGUAGGCGUAGCGAAAGCGAGUCUUAAUAGGGCGUUUAGUCGCUGGGUAUAGACCCGAAACCGGGCGAUCUAUCCAUGAGCAGGUUGAAGGUUAGGUAACACUGACUGGAGGACCGAACCCACUCCCGUUGAAAAGGUAGGGGAUGACUUGUGGAUCGGAGUGAAAGGCUAAUCAAGCUCGGAGAUAGCUGGUUCUCCUCGAAAGCUAUUUAGGUAGCGCCUCAUGUAUCACUCUGGGGGGUAGAGCACUGUUUCGGCUAGGGGGUCAUCCCGACUUACCAAACCGAUGCAAACUCCGAAUACCCAGAAGUGCCGAGCAUGGGAGACACACGGCGGGUGCUAACGUCCGUCGUGAAAAGGGAAACAACCCAGACCGCCAGCUAAGGUCCCAAAGUUGUGGUUAAGUGGUAAACGAUGUGGGAAGGCUUAGACAGCUAGGAGGUUGGCUUAGAAGCAGCCAUCCUUUAAAGAAAGCGUAAUAGCUCACUAGUCGAGUCGGCCUGCGCGGAAGAUGUAACGGGGCUCAAACCACACACCGAAGCUGCGGGUGUCACGUAAGUGACGCGGUAGAGGAGCGUUCUGUAAGCCUGUGAAGGUGAGUUGAGAAGCUUGCUGGAGGUAUCAGAAGUGCGAAUGCUGACAUGAGUAACGACAAUGGGUGUGAAAAACACCCACGCCGAAAGACCAAGGGUUCCUGCGCAACGUUAAUCGACGCAGGGUUAGUCGGUUCCUAAGGCGAGGCUGAAAAGCGUAGUCGAUGGGAAACAGGUUAAUAUUCCUGUACUUCUGGUUACUGCGAUGGAGGGACGGAGAAGGCUAGGCCAGCUUGGCGUUGGUUGUCCAAGUUUAAGGUGGUAGGCUGAAAUCUUAGGUAAAUCCGGGGUUUCAAGGCCGAGAGCUGAUGACGAGUCGUCUUUUAGAUGACGAAGUGGUUGAUGCCAUGCUUCCAAGAAAAGCUUCUAAGCUUCAGGUAACCAGGAACCGUACCCCAAACCGACACAGGUGGUCGGGUAGAGAAUACCAAGGCGCUUGAGAGAACUCGGGUGAAGGAACUAGGCAAAAUGGCACCGUAACUUCGGGAGAAGGUGCGCCGGCUAGGGUGAAGGAUUUACUCCGUAAGCUCUGGCUGGUCGAAGAUACCAGGCCGCUGCGACUGUUUAUUAAAAACACAGCACUCUGCAAACACGAAAGUGGACGUAUAGGGUGUGACGCCUGCCCGGUGCCGGAAGGUUAAUUGAUGGGGUUAGCGCAAGCGAAGCUCUUGAUCGAAGCCCCGGUAAACGGCGGCCGUAACUAUAACGGUCCUAAGGUAGCGAAAUUCCUUGUCGGGUAAGUUCCGACCUGCACGAAUGGCGUAACGAUGGCGGCGCUGUCUCCACCCGAGACUCAGUGAAAUUGAAAUCGCUGUGAAGAUGCAGUGUAUCCGCGGCUAGACGGAAAGACCCCGUGAACCUUUACUGUAGCUUUGCACUGGACUUUGAGCCUGCUUGUGUAGGAUAGGUGGGAGGCUUUGAAGCGUGGACGCCAGUUCGCGUGGAGCCAUCCUUGAAAUACCACCCUGGCAUGCUUGAGGUUCUAACUCUGGUCCGUGAUCCGGAUCGAGGACAGUGUAUGGUGGGCAGUUUGACUGGGGCGGUCUCCUCCUAAAGAGUAACGGAGGAGUACGAAGGUGCGCUCAGACCGGUCGGAAAUCGGUCGCAGAGUAUAAAGGCAAAAGCGCGCUUGACUGCGAGACAGACACGUCGAGCAGGUACGAAAGUAGGUCUUAGUGAUCCGGUGGUUCUGUAUGGAAGGGCCAUCGCUCAACGGAUAAAAGGUACUCCGGGGAUAACAGGCUGAUACCGCCCAAGAGUUCAUAUCGACGGCGGUGUUUGGCACCUCGAUGUCGGCUCAUCACAUCCUGGGGCUGAAGCCGGUCCCAAGGGUAUGGCUGUUCGCCAUUUAAAGUGGUACGCGAGCUGGGUUUAGAACGUCGUGAGACAGUUCGGUCCCUAUCUGCCGUGGACGUUUGAGAUUUGAGAGGGGCUGCUCCUAGUACGAGAGGACCGGAGUGGACGAACCUCUGGUGUUCCGGUUGUCACGCCAGUGGCAUUGCCGGGUAGCUAUGUUCGGAAAAGAUAACCGCUGAAAGCAUCUAAGCGGGAAACUUGCCUCAAGAUGAGAUCUCACUGGGAACUUGAUUCCCCUGAAGGGCCGUCGAAGACUACGACGUUGAUAGGCUGGGUGUGUAAGCGUUGUGAGGCGUUGAGCUAACCAGUACUAAUUGCCCGUGAGGCUUGACCAU
rnacentral:rRNA from 2 species